AACGAACGCUAUCGGUAUGCUUAACACAUGCAAGUCGAACGGACUAAUUGGGGCUUGCUCCAAUUAGUUAGUGGCAGACGGGUGAGUAACACGUGGGAAUCCACCCAUCAGUACGGAAUAACUUUUAGAAAUAAAAGCUAAUACCGUAUAUUCUCUAUGGAAGAAAGAUUUAUCGCUGAUGGAUGAGCCCGCGUCAGAUUAGGUCGUUGGUGAGGUAACGGCUCACCAAGCCGACGAUCUGUAGCUGGUCUGAGAGGAUGAUCAGCCACACUGGGACUGAGACACGGCCCAGACUCCUACGGGAGGCAGCAGUGGGGAAUAUUGGACAAUGGGCGAAAGCCUGAUCCAGCAAUACCGAGUGAGUGAUGAAGGCCUUAGGGUUGUAAAGCUCUUUUAGCAAGGAAGAUAAUGACGUUACUUGCAGAAAAAGCCCCGGCUAACUCCGUGCCAGCAGCCGCGGUAAG
rnacentral:rRNA from 1 species